rnacentral:rRNA from 1 species
GACGAACGCUGGCGGCGUGCUUAACACAUGCAAGUCGAACGGGAAUUCGUAAACAGAGGCCUCGGCGGGAGAUUCCUACUGAGAGUGGAGAACGGGUUAGUCACGCGUGAGCUACGUGCCUACUUCAGUAGGCUAGCCCCGGGAAAGCAGGGGUACUCCCGCAUAAAAUCGUAGAAAGACAUGUUUUAACGGUCAAAGAUUUAUCGGUCAUUGAUGGGCUCGCGUCUGAUUAGGUAGCUGGUGAGGUAACAGCCCAGCAAGGGGACGAACAGUAGCAGGUCGGGGAGGAUGAACGGCUACAUUGGAACUGAGACACGGACCAAACUCCGACGGAAGGCAGCAGUGGGGAAUAUUGUACGAUGAGGGAAACCCUGAUGCAGCGACGCCGCGGGAAAGAAGAAGGUAGUCGUAUCGUAAAUUUCUGUCCGAUGGGAAGAUAAUGACAGUAACAGAUAAGAAAGCUCCGGCUAAAUACGUG